rnacentral:rRNA from 1 species
UACGUAGGGGGCAAGCGUUGUUCGGAUUUACUGGGCGUAAAGGGCGCGUAGGCGGCGAGUAAAGCCGGACAUGAAAUCAUUGGGCUUAACCCAAUGGCUGUGCCAGAUACUUGCGUGCUUAGAGUGCGGGAGAGGCAAUCGGAAUUCUCGGUGUAGCGGUGAAAUGCGUAGAUAUCGAGAGGAACUCCAGUGACGAAGGUGGGUUGCUGGACCGACACUGACGCUGAGGCGCGAAAGCUAGGGGAGCAAACGGG